GACGAACGCUGGCGGCGUGCUUAACACAUGCAAGUCGAACGGAAAGGCCCUGCUUUUGUGGGGUGCUCGAGUGGCGAACGGGUGAGUAACACGUGAGUAACCUGCCCUUGACUUUGGGAUAACUUCAGGAAACUGGGGCUAAUACCGGAUAGGAGCUCCUGCUGCAUGGUGGGGGUUGGAAAGUUUCGGCGGUUGGGGAUGGACUCGCGGCUUAUCAGCUUGUUGGUGGGGUAGUGGCUUACCAAGGCUUUGACGGGUAGCCGGCCUGGGAGGGUGACCGGCCAAAUUGGAACGGGGUUAGGGCCCGGACUCCAACGGGAGGCAGCGGUGGGGAUGAUGGCACAAUGGGCGGAGGCCGAAUGCGGCAACGCCGCGUGCGGGAUGACGGCCUUGGGGUUGUAAACCACUUUCGCCUGUGACGAAGCGUGAGUGACGGUAAUGGGUAAAGAAGCACCGGCUAACUACGUG
rnacentral:rRNA from 1 species